GCUGGGCGCAGUGGCGCAUGGCUGUAGUCCCAGCUACUCGGGAGGCUGAGGUGGGAGGAUCGUUUGAGCCCAGGAGUUCUGGGCUGCAGUGCGCUAUGCCUAUUGGGUGUCUGCACUAAGUUUGGUGUCAAUAUGGUGACCUCCCGGGAUCGGGGAACCACCAGGUUGCCUAAGGAGGGAUGAACUGGCCCAGGUCGGAAAUGGAGCAGGUCAAAACUCCCAUACUGAUCAGUAGUGGGACUGUGCCUGUGAAUAGCCAUUGCACUCCAGCCUGGGCAACAUAAUGAGACCCCAUCUCU
rnacentral:SRP_RNA from 1 species